GACUGAACCAGCCAUGCCGCGUGCAGGAAGACGGUCCUAUGGAUUGUAAACUGCUUUUAUACAGGAAGAAACCACUCCCACGUGUGGGAGCUUGACGGUACUGUAGGGAAUAAGGAUCGGCUAACUCCGUGCCAGCAGCCGCGGUAAUACGGAGGAUCCAAGCGUUAUCCGGAAUCAUUGGGUUUAAAGGGUCCGUAGGCGGUCUUAUAAGUCAGUGGUGAAAGCCCAUCGCUCAACGAUGGAACUGCCAUUGAUACUGUAAGACUUGAAUGCUUAGGAAGUAACUAGAAUAUGUAGUGUAGCGGUGAAAUGCUUAGAUAUUACAUGGAAUACCAAUUGCGAAGGCAGGUUACUACUAAGUUGAUUGACGCUGAUGGACGAAAGCGUGGGGAGCGAACAGGAUUAGAUACCCUGGUAGUCCACGCCGUAAACGAUGGAUACUAGCUGUUCGGAAGCAAUCUGAGUGGCUAAGCGAAAGUGAUAAGUAUCCCACC
rnacentral:rRNA from 1 species